GACGAACGCUGGCGGCGUGCUUAACACAUGCAAGUCGAACGGAAAGGCCCUGCUUUUGUGGGGUGCUCGAGUGGCGAACGGGUGAGUAACACGUGAGUAACCUGCCCUUUACUUUGGGAUAACUUCAGGAAACUGGGGCUAAUACCGGAUAGGAGCUCCUGCUGCAUGGUGGGGGUUGGAAAGUUUCGGCGGUUGGGGAUGGACUCGCGGCUUAUCAUCUUGUUGGUGGGGUAGUGGCUUACCAAGGCUUUGACGGGUAGCCGGCCUGAGAGGGUGACCGGCCACAUUGGGACUGAGAUACGGCCCAGACUCCUACGGGAGGCAGCAGUGGGGAAUAUUGCACAAUGGGCGGAAGCCGGAUGAAGAAACGCCGCGUGCGGGAUGACGGCCUUCGGGUUGUAAACCGCUUUCGCCUGUGACGAAGCGUGAGUGACGGUAAUGGGUAAAGAAGCACCGGCUAACUACGUG
rnacentral:rRNA from 1 species